ACUGAAAAACAAAGGAGACCAGCAACGAUCAUAUAUCAUAAACAUAAAAUAAAUAUUGAAAUCCAUGAAAAAAAAAUCAAGAAAAUUGUUAAUUGCAAUUUCUCUGUGGAAGUUUUUAUCUUUUGGAUUUUUCAUCAUAACCAAAACCAGUUGUUAGAUUAAAGCCUUUACAGAUCUUUUAUGUAUCUGACAGAUCCAUAGAUCCAAGAGUGAGUCAACCCCCCCCUACAAGAAAGGGAAUAGCUAUGUCUCUAAUAUACACGAAUAGAAAUUCAUCAUCAUGUCUGUAUCUUACAGAUCUGAAUUCCAUAUCGAAAAUUAACACAGAAAAUAGAUCAAAUCUAACACACGAUUAUCAUUAAAAAAAGGAGAAAACGAAUCAUAGACAAACUAUGCAGAGGAAAGAGUAAUCGAGACUUACAUAAAGUGAUAGAUCCUUGGAAGAAGAAUGAAACUGGGAUUCGCCUGAUACAAGUUUCUAAACAAAAAAAAAACAAUAAGUGGAGGAGGGGCGGUCAGAGAAAUUUCGAGGAAAGAUAAGAAAGGGGGGUUGGUCUUUUAUGACUAAAACCACAAGCAGCUUGCCGUGUUUCUUCAGUUUAUCAAAGAACAAAAUGUUAAUUAGGUUUGACGUUGAUUUGGUAGACGACAGAGAGAGGAAGUGGGAUUAUGUUUCGGUUACGGGUCUGUGACAAAA